AUUGAACGCUGGCGGCAGGCCUAACACAUGCAAGUCGAGCGGAGCGGCGGACGGGUGAGUAAUGCCUAGGAAUCUGCCUGGUAGUGGGGGAUAACGUCCGGAAACGGGCGCUAAUACCGCAUACUAUCAGAUGAGCCUCGGUCGGAUUCGCUAGUUGGUGGGGUAAAGGCCUACCAAGGCGACGAUCCGUAACUGGUCUGAGAGGAUGAUCAGUCACACGGGAACUGAGACACGGUCCAGACUCCUACGGGAGGCAGAAGGGGGGAAUAUUGGACAAGGGGCGAAAGCCUGAUCCAGCCAUGCCGCGUGUGUGAAGAAGGUCUUCGGGUUGUAAAGCACUUUCAGCGGGGAGGCGUUACCCGCAGAAGAAGCACCGGCUAACUCCGUGCCAGCAGCCGCGGUAAUUC
rnacentral:rRNA from 1 species